rnacentral:rRNA from 1 species
UGGGGAAUUUUGGACAAUGGGCGAAAGCCUGAUCCAGCAAUGCCGCGUGUGUGAAGAAGGCCUUCGGGUUGUAAAGCACUUUUGUCCGGAAAGAAAUCCUUGGCUCUAAUACAGUCGGGGGAUGACGGUACCGGAAGAAUAAGCACCGGCUAACUACGUGCCAGCAGCCGCGGUAAUACGUAGGGUGCAAGCGUUAAUCGGAAUUACUGGGCGUAAAGCGUGCGCAGGCGGUUUGCUAAGACCGAUGUGAAAUCCCCGGGCUCAACCUGGGAACUGCAUUGGUGACUGGCAGGCUAGAGUAUGGCAGGAGGGGGGUAGAAUUCCACGUGUAGCAGUGAAAUGCGUAGAGAUGUGGAGGAAUACCGAUGGCGAAGGCAGCCCCCUGGGCAAAUACUGACGCUCAUGCACGAAAGCGUGGGGAGCAAACAGGAUUAGAUACCCUGGUAGUCCACGCCCUAAACGAUGUCAACUAGUUGUUGGGGAUUCAUUUCCUUAGUAACGUAGCUAACGCGUGAAGUUGACCGCCUGGGGAGUACGGUCGCAAAGAUUAAAACUUAAAUGAAUUGACGGGGUCAUAGCUGUUUCCU